CCGGUGAUCUAGCCAUGGGCAGGUUGAAGGUUGGGUAACACUAACUGGAGGACCGAACCGACUAAUGUUGAAAAAUUAGCGGAUGACUUGUGGCUGGGGUGAAAGGCCAAUCAAACCGGGAGAUAGCUGGUUCUCCCCGAAAGCUAUUUAGGUAGCGCCUCGUGAACUCAUCUUCGGGGUAGAGCACUGUUUCGGCUAGGGGUCAUCCCGACUUACCAACCCGAUGCAAACUACGAAUACCGAAGAAUGUUAUCACGGGAGACACACGGCGGGUGCUAACGUCCGUCGUGAAGAGGGAAACAACCCAGACCGCCAGCUAAGGUCCCAAAGUCAUGGUUAAGUGGGAAACGAUGUGGGAAGGCACAGACAGCCAGGAUGUUGGCUUAGAAGCAGCCAUCAUUUAAAGAAAGCGUAAUAGCUCACUGGUCGAGUCGGCCUGCGCGGAAGAUGUAACGGGGCUAAACCAUGCACCGAAGCUGCGGCAGCGAC
rnacentral:rRNA from 1 species